GCAUGUCAAGCGAACAGAUGAAGUGCUUGCACUUCUGACGUUAGCGGCGAACGGUUGAGUAACACGUAAGGAAUCUACCUAUAAGCGGGGGAUAACAUUCGGAAACGGGUGCUAAUACCGCAUAAUAUCUUCUUGCGCAUGGAAGAAGAUUGAAAGACGGCUCUGCUGUCACUUAUAGAUGACCUUGCGGUGCAUUAGUUAGUUGGUGGGGUAACGGCCUACCAAGACGAUGAUGCAUAGCCGACCUGAGAGGGUGAUCGGCCACAUUGGGACUGAGACACGGCCCAAACUCCUACGGGAGGCAGCAGUAGGGAAUCUUCCGCAAUGGGCGAAAGCCUGACGGAGCAAUGCCGCGUGAGUGAAGAAGGCCUUCGGGUCGUAAAACUCUGUUAUAAGAGAAGAACAAAUUGUAGAGUAACUGCUACAGUCUUGACGGUAUCUUAUCAGAAAGCCACGGCUAACUACGUGCCAGCAGCCGCGGUAAUACGUAGGUGGCAAGCGUUGUCCGGAUUUAUUGGGCGUAAAGGGAGCGCAGGUGGUUUCUUAAGUCUGAUGUGAAAGCCCACGGCUUAACCGUGGAGGGUCAUUGGAAACUGGGAAACUUGAGUACAGAAGAGGAAUGUGGAACUCCAUGUGUAGCGGUGGAAUGCGUAGAUAUAUGGAAGAACACCAGUGGCGAAGGCGACAUUCUGGUCUGUUACUGACACUGAGGCUCGAAAGCGUGGGGAGCAAACAGGAUUAGAUACCCUGGUAGUCCCACGCCGUAAACGAUGAGUGCUAGGUGUUGGAGGG
rnacentral:rRNA from 1 species